GUGGGGAAUAUUGCACAAUGGGCGCAAGCCUGAUGCAGCCAUGCCGCGUGUAUGAAGAAGGCCUUCGGGUUGUAAAGUACUUUCAGCGGGGAGGAAGGCGAUAAGGUUAAUAACCUUGUCGAUUGACGUUACCCGCAGAAGAAGCACCGGCUAACUCCGUGCCAGCAGCCGCGGUAAUACGGAGGGUGCAAGCGUUAAUCGGAAUUACUGGGCGUAAAGCGCACGCAGGCGGGCUGUCAAGUCGGAUGUGAAAUCCCCGGGCUCAACCUGGGAACUGCAUUCGAAACUGGCAGGCUAGAGUCUUGUAGAGGGGGGUAGAAUUCCAGGUGUAGCGGUGAAAUGCGUAGAGAUCUGGAGGAAUACCGGUGGCGAAGGCGGCCCCCUGGACAAAGACUGACGCUCAGGUGCGAAAGCGUGGGGAGCAAACAGGAUUAGAUACCCGUGUAGUCC
rnacentral:rRNA from 1 species